AAGUCAGAUGUGAAAUCCCCGGGCUUAACCUGGGAACUGCAUCUGAAACUGUUAGGCUAGAGUAGGUGAGAGGGAAGUGGAAUUUCAGGUGUAGCGGUGAAAUGCGUAGAGAUCUGAAGGAAUACCGAUGGCGAAGGCAGCUUCCUGGCAUCAUACUGACACUGAGGCUCGAAAGCGUGGGUAGCAAACAGGAUUAGAUACCCUGGUAGUCCACGCCGUAAACGAUGUCUACUAGUCGUUGGGUCCCUUGAGGACUUAGUGACGCAGCUAACGCAAUAAGUAGACCGCCUGGGGAGUACGGCCGCAAGGUUAAAACUCAAAUGAAUUGGC
rnacentral:rRNA from 1 species